AAUGAACGCUGGCGGCAUGCUUUACACAUGCAAGUCGAACGGCAGCACGGGGGUAACCCUGGUGGCGAGUGGCGAACGGGUGAGUAACACAUCGGAACGUGCCCAAUCGUGGGGGACAACGUAGCGAAAGCUACGCUAAUACCGCAUACGAUCUACGGAUGAAAGCGGGGGAUCGCAAGACCUCGCGCGAAUGGAGCGGCCGAUGGCGGAUUAGGUAGUUGGUGGGGUAAAGGCUCUCCAAGGCAACGAUCUGUAGCUGGUCUGAGAGGACGACCAACCAGACUGGGACGGAGCAACGGCCCAGAUUCCGACGGGGGGGAGCAGUGGGGAAUUUUGGACAAGGGGCGCAAGCCUGAUCCAGCCAUUCCGCGUGCAGAAUGAAGGCCUUCGGGUUGUAAACUGCUUUUGUACGGAACGAAACGGCCCUUUCUAAUACAGAGGGCUAAUGACGGUACCGUAAGAAUAAGCACCGGCUAACUACGUGCCAGCCGCCGCGGUAAAAC
rnacentral:rRNA from 1 species